rnacentral:rRNA from 1 species
CCUACGGGAGGCAGCAGUGGGGAAUAUUGCACAAUGGGGGAAACCCUGAUGCAGCCACGCCGCGUGAAGGAAGACGGUUUUCGGAUUGUAAACUUCUGUUCUUAGUGAAGAAUAAUGACGGUAGCUAAGGAGCAAGCCACGGCCAACUACGUGCCAGCAGCCGCGGUAAUACGUAGGUGCCAAGCGUUGUCCGGAUUUACUGGGUUUAAAGGGAGCGCUGGCGGGGAGCAAAGUCAACUGUGAAAACUACGGUCUUAACUUGUCGACUGCAGUUGAAACUGGCUUUCUGGAGUGAAGUAGAGGUUGGCGGAAUUCGGAGUGUAGCGGUGAAAUGCGUAGAUAUUCGGAAGAACACCGGUUGCGAAGGCGGCCAACUGGGCUUUAACUGACGCUGAGGCUCGAAAGUGUGGGUAGCAAACAGGAUUAGAUACCCGUGUAGUC